AAAUCACAGGAUCCACUACGUGUGGUGAAUGUUAUAACGUAAGGGAAAAAAAUGAUUUUACCUUACUAUUAGUGUUGUCCAAAACUGGGGCCAGAAGACUCGGUAAGGCCAGAGACGCAAACGUUAGUCGUCCUAAUCAGGCGUAAAGGGUAUGUAGGCUGCUUUAAAAGUUUUAUAUUUAAUAGCUCUGUUUAAUCUUUAAAAAUUAAAAAUUAAACAGUAAAUAUACAAUUAAUUAAAGCUAGGAUCAAAUUGAGGAUAAGUUAAAUAAUACUUAGUGUAGGGUUUGAAUCUGGUGAUACUAGGGGGAAUACUAACGGUGAAAGCUUUUUAUCUAGAAAUGAUUGACGCUGAGAAACGAAGGUGAGAGUAGGAAAUAGGAUUAGAUACCCAGAUACCUCUCACAGUCAACGAUGAAUGGUGGUUGUUAGUUACUU
rnacentral:rRNA from 1 species